ensembl:lncRNA
GCCGCAGACUGUGGGAGCCGGGUGUGCUGAAAUCCGUCGAACUCUACUCUUCCGGACAGCCAAACUGGAUCACGCCUUUUUCUGAACCCUGGGGACACAGAAAUGCACAAGGUGGACACAAUCUCUGACCUGGAGGAGUUUAGUAGUGCAAAGGGCACGGCAGCGUGUGUCUGGUACUGUAAAGGAUGGGCUCAAGGCAGCAAGGAAACAGUGAAGAAGCGUCAUGUGUAAGAGCAUCCAGGCAAGGCUACAGAGAGGAGUGGUGUCCCACCUGGAUCAGGAAGGGAGCAACAACUGGCCAGGUGGGGUUAGCAAUAGUAACAACCCAAAUAUAAGCUCUUUGCAGUCUCUUACUGUGCACUUCGGCUUCCCUGGCGGCUCAGCGGUGAAGAAUCCGCCUGCCAACACAGAAGACGCGAGUUUGAUCCCUGGGUGGGGAAGAUCCCCUGAAGAAGGAAAUGGCCACCCACUCUAGUAUUUUUGUCUGGGAGAUCCAAUAGACAGAGGAUCCUGGCGGGAUGCUGUCCGUGGGGUCGCAAAAGAGUGGGACACAACUUAGCAACUAAAACAACAACUAUGUGCUUUAUUUCCAUUAAUUUUCAUCUUUAUCACAAUCCUGGGAAGUAGAGAUUAUCACCUUCAUUUUACAGAUGAGAAAAUUGAGGCUUCAAGAGUUUAAAUCAGUGUUGUAAGAAAGGAGAGAAGGUUAGCACUUCCCUUGACAAGGAUGGAAGAGGCUCUCCGGCCUGACAACAGCAUACGGUUAAGGCAUUGCCACCUACUUCGUGGCAUUUAACCACUGUUUUUCACCCGUGGCGGAUUCAAGUUGAUGUAUGGCAAAACCAAUACAAUAUUGUAAAGUAAUUAGCCUCCAAUUAAAAUAAAUAAACUUUUUAAAAAAUAAAAAAAUCAAACUACCAAAAAAAAAAAAGUUUAAAUCAAUUGUCCAAAGUGAUACAACCAAUAAAUACAAAACCCAGAAUCUGAGCCAGGUCCAUUUCUAAGUUUAGACCUAGAUUUAAGUUUAAAAAUACAGAAUGUUAAACAUAAAGGCCUGGAGGCUAUAUCAAAA